GAUGAACGCUCGCUACAGGCUUACACAUGCAAGUCGCAGGGUAACAUGAGGAAAGCUUGCUUUCCUUGAUGACGACUGGCGCACGGGUGAGGAACGCGGAUCCAACCUUCCCAUAACUACGGGAUAACCCGUUGAAAGACGGCCUAAUACCGUAUGAUAUAGGUUGCUGACAUCAAAUAACGAUUAAAGGUUUAGCGGUUAUGGAUGGGGAUGCGUCUGAUUAGCUUGUUGGCGGGGUAACGGCCCACCAAGGCGACGAUCAGUAGGGGUUCUGAGAGGAAGGUCCCCCACAUUGGAACUGAGACACGGUCCAAACUCCUACGGGAGGCAGCAGUGAGGAAUAUUGGUCAAUGGGCGAGAGCCUGAACCAGCCAAGUAGCGUGCAGGACGACGGCCCUAUGGGUUGUAAACUGCUUUUAUGUGGGGAUAAAGUGCGUGACGUGUCAUGCAUUGCAGGUACCACAUGAAUAAGGACCGGCUAAUUCCGUG
rnacentral:rRNA from 1 species